rnacentral:rRNA from 1 species
UACGUAGGGGGCAAGCGUUGUCCGGAUUUAUUGGGCGUAAAGAGCGUGUAGGCGGUUCGGUAGGUCCGUUGUGAAAACUCGAGCUCAACCUCGAGACGCCGAUGGAAACCCUCGAACUAGAGUCCGGAAGAGGAGAAUGGAAUUCCUGGUGUAGCGGUGAAAUGACGCAGAUAUCAGGAAGAACACCCGUGGCUAAGGCGGCUCUCUAGUACGGUACUGACGCUGAGACGCGAAAGCGUGGGGAGCAAACAGG